GAUGAACGUUGGCGGUGUGCCUAAUACAUGCAAGUCGAACGGAGACUGUAGCAAUACUGUCUUAGUGGCGAACGGGUGAGUAACGCGUUGGUGAUCUGCCUCGAAGUGUGGAAUAACCUCCCGAAAGGGAAGCUAAUACCGCAUAGUCUCUCAAGGUUUAGAAAAUUGAGAGUAAAGGAUUUAUUCGCUUCGAGAGGAGCCUGCGUCCCAUCAGCUAGUUGGUAGGGUAACGGCCUACCAAGGCAAUGACGGGUAGGGGACCUGAGAGGGUGGCCCCCCAAAUGGAACUGAAACACGGUCCAUACACCUACGGGUGGCAGCAGUAGGGAAUAUUAAAAAUGGGCGGAAGCCUGAUCUAGCAACACCGCGUGUGCGAUGAAGGCCUUCGGGUCGUAAAGCAACUUUUUGGAGGGAAUAGGAAGGAAGGUACCUCCAGAAUAAGUCUCGGCUAACUACGUGCCAGCAGCCGCGGUAAGAGUGUGUGUA
rnacentral:rRNA from 1 species